UUCCGGUUGAUCCCGCCGGAGGUUACUGCUAUCGAGAUUCGACUAAGCCAUGCGAGUCGAAUGUUCUUCGUGAGCAUGGCGGACUGCUCAGUAACACGUGGACAACCUACCCUUGGGUCUGGCAUAAUCCUGGGAAACUGGGUAUAAUUCCAGAUAGGUCACAGAUGCUGGAAUGCACUGUGGCCGAAAGCUCCGGCGCCCAAGGAUGGGUCUGCGGCCUAUCAGGGUUGUAGUGGGUGUAACGGACCUACUAGCCUACGACGGGUACGGGUUGUGAGAGCAAGAGCCCGGAGAUGGAUUCUGAGACACGAAUCCAGGCCCUACGGGGUGCAACAGGCGCGAAAACUUUACAAUGCGGGACACCGCGAUAAGGGGACCUCGAGUGCUGGCAUACAAUGCUGGCUGUCCAGCUGCCUAAAUAGCAGUUGAUAGCAAGGGCCGGGCAAGACCGGUGCCAGCCGCCGCGGUAACACCGGCGGCUCGAGUGGUAACCGCUAUUAUUGGGUCUAAAGGGUCUGUAGCCUGCAGGUUAAGUCUCUUGGUAAAUCCGGCAGCUCAACUGUC
rnacentral:rRNA from 1 species